UACAGAGGUCUCAAGCGUUGUUCGGAUUCAUUGGGCGUAAAGGGUGCGUAGGUGGCGCCGUAAGUCAGGUGUGAAAUUUCGGAGCUUAACUCCGAAACUGCAUUUGAUACUGCGGUGCUUGAGGACUGGAGAGGAGACUGGAAUUUACGGUGUAGCAGUGAAAUGCGUAGAGAUCGUAAGGAAGACCGUGGCGAAGGCGGCCAUCUGGACGGAUACUGACGCUGAGACGCGAAAGCGUGGGGAGCAAACAGG
rnacentral:rRNA from 1 species